rnacentral:rRNA from 1 species
UACGUAGGGGGCAAGCGUUGUCCGGAAUCAUUGGGCGUAAAGGGUGCGUAGGCGGCGCGGUAAGUCGGGUGUGAAAUCUUGGAGCUUAACUCCGAAACUGCAUUCGAUACUGCCGUGCUUGAGGACUGGAGAGGAGACUGGAAUUUAUGGUGUAGCGGUGAAAUGCGUAGAUAUCGUAAGGAAGACCAGUGGCGAAGGCGGGUCUCUGGACAGUUCCUGACGCUGAGGCACGAAGGCCAGGGGAGCAAACGGG